rnacentral:lncRNA from 1 species
CGACGGUGGCGUCUUGGGUGGAUUGGUGGGGGAUGAGGAGCGGCGCUGGCGGAUGGAGGCGGAAGGUCUCCUUGAUCACUGCGUGGAGGUAUGGUAGAUCUUGUAGCUCGUGUUCUUGGAUGAUUUCCUGGCGGGCAUCGCCGAAUUUCGCGCGUAAUUCUUCCUGUGCUUUCUCCAGGGCUCUGGGAUUGUUUAGCAACUCCGCCAUUGCCCAUUGGAUCGUGGUAAUGGAGGUGUCUGUUCCAGCUCCCAAGAGAUUCUAGACGAGAACAAACACAACAUGUAAGAACUUCCAAGGUAUGGAUUCUUUCUUUGUUUCUUCUUUAGAGUACCUGGAUGAGUGCCUUGAUGUUUCUAGCUUGAUUGUUUGGAUCUGGAGAGUCUAGAGACAAGAGUGUGUCGACGAAAUCUCCAACUCCAUCGUGAGCUUGAGUUUGUUCUCUGCUUUGCCUCGCAAGGACGUGCUGAUCGACCACUUUUUGCAGGAACUCGUCCUGGAUCUUGUGCAGGGCUUUCAUCUUGGCGACGCUCGAGUCGAACCACUUGAGAAACGGGAUGUAGUCGCCGAUGUGGAACUCCCCGAGAAGAAUGGUUCCUUGCUCUUGCAUAUGGAUGAAGUCUCUGGUGGCCGCGAGCUCCUCCGUCGUCUCUCCGGAUCCAAAGUAAGCCUUGUUCAUCACCAUCCGGGUGAUGACGUUGAACGUAAACUCCGUCAGCAGAUCUAGCAGCACGAAAGGUUUGCUCGUCUCCGCAACUUUUGCGAUCUUCGCUAACAAUCUCUGUAGCUCUUCGAGCCUUGCCUGGUGCGACGAGGCGAGGCGACGGUCUGUCAGGAGCUCCACGACGCACAGCUUCCUCAUGCUC